rnacentral:rRNA from 1 species
GACGAACGCUGGCGGCGUGCCUAAUACAUGCAAGUCGAACGCUGAAGCUUGGUGCUUGCACCGAGCGGAUGAGUUGCGAACGGGUGAGUAACGCGUAGGUAACCUGCCUGGUAGCGGGGGAUAACUAUUGGAAACGAUAGCUAAUACCGCAUAACAGUAGAUAUCGCAUGAUAGCUACUUGAAAGGUGCAAAUGCACCACUACCAGAUGGACCUGCGUUGUAUUAGCUAGUUGGUGAGGUAACGGCUCACCAAGGCAACGAUACAUAGCCGACCUGAGAGGGUGAUCGGCCACACUGGGACUGAGACACGGCCCAGACUCCUACGGGAGGCAGCAGUAGGGAAUCUUCGGCAAUGGACGGAAGUCUGACCGAGCAACGCCGCGUGAGUGAAGAAGGUUUUCGGAUCGUAAAGCUCUGUUGUAAGAGAAGAACGAGUGUGAGAGUGGAAAGUUCACACUGUGACGGUAUCUUACCAGAAAGAGACGGCUAACUACGUG